UCUUAGAGAAAUAAUUUUAUAUAAAAAUGGAGAAGCCAACUAGAUAUUGAGGCGGAUUUAGAAUUCCAAUAGUAGAGUUUGCCUUUGUUUCAGCAUCACUGUUCCCACAAGCAGUUUUACUUCACCUGUCUAGUUAAUCUGUUCAUACUAUUUUAUUUAAGAGACCUCCAUUGGAAAAUACUGGGAAAUGCAGCAGCACAUGCUAGUUCCUCUGGCUAAAGGACUGUGAUUUUCUUGGUUAAAUCACCAUGGAGCGGAUCAUAGUAGUUGGCGUCCUCAGGUUUGCUACUCUUCAGACUCAACAAGGUUGCAGAAAUUUUGUGGCAGAAAUUUUGUGGCAGUAAAUAUUUUAUGUAACAGGAACAUAUCUUUAUAUGGUUCUCAAUUUGGAAUGUCGCAAAUGCUUUUUUUUGUAGGAGAGGAUCAUCUAUUAUCUUCAAGUUGGCCAUCUUGUUACUGAUAGGUUGCUAUGGAUGGAGUGUGAUUGCGAAAUCACAAAAUUGCUCUUAAACUCUGUACUUGUAUAGAAACAAACAAUUUUUUGUACCAAAAAGAAGUAAACAGUUUCUCAAAUCUUCAUCAAAUAAAAUUGGAGCCGCUUCCUGU